rnacentral:misc_RNA from 1 species
AUGCAACCCAUCAGCACAUUGAGUCCAAGGUGUGCAUUUGAUGCAAAUGGGACAAUAAUACACCAAAAUAUUACGUCUGUUAGGAUGACAGCACCUGCACAAGUCUGAAAAAUAGUUUGCAUAAGAUAUCCCCAAAGUCCAGCUCUCAGCCUAAUUGUCUCUUCUACAUAGUGACUUUGCAACUUGAUAGUUCCCUUCAUUGCUUUUUCCCUGAAAGUUGCAGAGCUUGUAGUUCCAUUAUCUUCCACAUCUGUUCUCAAGAACUCGUCAGUUUCCAAAUUUUCAGAGGGAAUUUGCAAUGAUGACGUCCAGCACCCAUAUCCAGAUGUGACAGUGGCAAGCGCAAAAUAUACCAUAACUAAUGCAAAUGUCCACUCGGUGUAAUACAUGAAGAUGGUAGCAUUCCAUUCCUUGAUAUCCCACAUUAGAAACCCAGCCAUGACCAGAAAGGAGAUGAAACGAGUGGCUAAGAGCCAUCCUGGAUGAAACCCUUUCCAGCAACUGCUCCAUAGUUGGGAGGAUCCAACAUGAUUUAUAGGCAUAGCAUGUACGAAACCAUCGGUGUCUGGUGGAGCAGCAACAAGGAGGCUUUCAUAGAUGGUGUUGGAGUCGUAUUUUGGGGCAAGCUCCUUCCUCCAUAGCACCCAUAAAGAGCCAACAAAGGAAGCAGCAACAAUGCCAAAACAAAUGAAAUCGUACCAGUACACCACCAGGGCCAUAGUCACCGUCUAGGCACCUUGGAAAGGUUGAGAUGUUUGAAAUGGUUAGCUUGCUUCAAUAAG